AUGAAUAAUGUAAAGGCUUCGGCCCAGUAUAUGCUGAGAUUGAAUUUGGGCUUAGGCCCAGCAGGCUGAUAUUGUUUUGGGCUCUGAAAGGGGCUUGUCGCACACUGAGUUUCCAAACUCAUCCCCUUCCUUAACCUUGCAGGAGAUCCUUGAUUUGGGGACUUGGAGCCAGAGGGGAUUCAGAGUGGCCACGGUGAUCGCUAUUGGACUUUAAAAUAAGUAUUUGGUUUUCUCUAGUUAUCUUAUUUGAUAUUUAUUUUUGGGUUGUAAUAAGGCCAUUUUAACUUUAUUCUCUUUCUGGGAUUAUUUUAUUUUUCGAUAACUUUAAAUUUUACUGAUGACAAUACAAAUGGGCUAGACUUAGGGCGCGUUUUCAAAAUGAUACUCGUUUUCAAAAUAACGCAACAUCACGAUCUUUUGGUGUAUCAAAGAUAUCCACUUAAAUAAAUUUAAACUCG
rnacentral:lncRNA from 1 species